rnacentral:rRNA from 1 species
GAUGAACGCUGGCGGCGUGCUUAACACAUGCAAGUCGAACGAGAAGUGAAGACGGAACCCUUCGGGCGGAAGGCUUUAUUUCGAGUGGCGGACGGGUGAGUAACGCGUGGGUAACCUGCCUCAUACAGGGGGAUAACAGUUGGAAACGACUGUUAAUACCGCAUAAGACCACAGCACCGCAUGGUGCGGGGGUAAAAACUCCGGUGGUAUGGGAUGGACCCGCGUUCGAUUAGCCAGUUGGCGGGGUAACGGCCCACCAAAGCGACGAUCGAUAGCCGAUCUGAGAGGAUGACCGGCCACAUUGGGACUGAGACACGGCCCAAACUCCUACGGGAGGCAGCAGUGGGGAAUAUUGCACAAUGGGGGAAACCCUGAUGCAGCGACGCCGCGUGAGUGAAGAAGUAUUUCGGUAUGUAAAGCUCUAUCAGCAGGGAAGAAAAUGACGGUACCUGAGUAAGAAGCCCCGGCUAACUACGUG